AAUCAACGCUGGCGGCGUGCCUCAGACAUGCAAGUCGAACGCGAAAGUUCCCUUCGGGGGAUAAGUAGAGUGGCGUCCGGGUGAGUAACACGUAGGUAAUCUACCUUUGGGUGGGGAAUAACAACCGGAAACGGUUGCUAAUACCGCAUAAUGCAGCGGCACCACAUGGUGACAGUUGUUAAAGCGGGGGAUCGCAAGACCUCGCGCCUAAAGAGGAGCCUGCGGCGGAUUAGCUAGUUGGAGGGUAACGGCCUACCAAGGCAACGAUCCGUAGCCGGCCUGAGAGGGCGGUCGGCCACACUGACACUGAAAUACGGGUCAGACUCCUACGGGAGGCAGCAGUCGGGAAUUUUGGGCAAUGGGCGAAAGCCUGACCCAGCAACGCCGCGUGAAGGAUGAAAUCCCUCGGGAUGUAAACUUCGCAAGAACAGGAAGAAUAAGUAGGGGACAAUACCCCCUAUGAUGACGGUACUGUUUGUAAGCUCCGGCUAACUCCGUGCCAGCAGCCGCCGUAA
rnacentral:rRNA from 1 species